UACGUAGGGUGCAAGCGUUGUCCGGAAUUAUUGGGCGUAAAGAGCUCGUAGGCGGUCUGUCGCGUCGGCUGUGAAAACUCGGGGCUCAACUCCGAGCUUGCAGUCGAUACGGGCAGGCUAGAGUUCGGCAGGGGAGACUGGAAUUCCUGGUGUAGCGGUGAAAUGCGCAGAUAUCAGGAGGAACACCGGUGGCGAAGGCGGGUCUCUGGGCCGAUACUGACACUGAGGAGCGAAAGCGUGGGGAGCGAACAGG
rnacentral:rRNA from 1 species